rnacentral:lncRNA from 1 species
UUUUGCCCCAAAAUUUUUGCACCAUUUGCAAUCUGGUCCUUUUGGCACAAAGGUGCAAUUUGCGCACCUACCCCCAAUUUUCCGGCAGUUGGCGUGGGUGGUGGCCCUCUCCUCAACCACUACCUGCAAAAGCAAACAAAAUCAACAAUAAAAGGGGUUUUUUCCCCAAAAAUUCGGAGGAAGAAAAGGGCAAGAGAAAAAUAGAAAACGUAAUAAAAAAGAGAAAAAAAUAGCAAACGAAGCCAAAACAACAAAAUAAUAACACAACUGUGCCCCAACACCGCCGUGGCCACCGUCGUUCCUUACCUUUCCUCCUCCACCGUUGCCUCCCCCUAAAAUAAAUAGACAAAACAAGAAAUAAAAAGAAUGAGAGAAGAGUAGGAAGAAGGCGAAAGGAAGAAAAAAAAGAGAAGAAAAGGCUAGGGUUUUAAGAAGAAAAGGGAAAGAAAAGAAGAAAGAAGAAAAAAGAAAAAAGGAAAAAAGAAGAAAAAAGGAAGGAAAAAGAAAGAAUAAAGAAAGAAUAAAAAAGAAAAAUUUAAAAAUAUAAAAAUAUAUAAAGGAUCGAUCGGAUCCGAACCGACCCGACCACCGACCCGACCCAACCCGACUUCC